AAUUUAAUUUGAUAUUAACGAUGGUUAAUAAUAUGUAAUCACAAAAAACAUAAACAUAAAUAAAAUGAAAAAUAUGGAAUAAAAAUGGUGGGGUAAGAUGUUGUAAUUUUACUAAACAAAAACUAUUGUAAAGAUAAAAAUUGGGUAGGUGUUGAAUAAUGAUGUGGAAGAAAGAGAAGAUGAUGUGGAGUGUUAAAAGUAAAAAAGUGGGUGUUGUAAAUGAGUAACCAUUGUGGAUAGUCUAAGGAUAAAAAUUGUAUAGGUGUUGAAUAAUGAUGUGGAAGAAAGAGGAGAUGAUGUGGAGUGUUAAAAGUAAAAAAGUGGGUGUUGUAAAUUAGUAACCAUUGUGGAUAGUCUUACAAUGGACACGUUGAAAAAAAUAUUUGAAUAUGGUGCAAUGGUUGUUUUAAUAAAUGUUGUAGAGGAUGUGGCAAAUUUGGUGAGUAGGGAAAAAUAUCGUUUAAUAUUCCAACUUUCAAAUUAUGGCCAUUUUAUACCUCAACUUUAUAUGUGACCAUUUUAAAUAUGAAGAUAUCGUUGACCAACCGUUUAAACCAUAAACAUUAGUUGACCAGGCUAAAAAAACUAACCGUUAUCACUCGUUAACAGAUUAUCUAACGUCCGUUAACAUCUCCAUUAGCUACCCCUAAACGACGUCGUUUUCAUAUUUUAAAAAUAAAUAACGAACGUAGGAUUCAAACUUGUAACCUAGAGAAAAACUAGAGACUUACUUAACACCCUCACCAACAGUAUUUUAUUGGUGAACUUUGAGAAACAUAUAUUUAUUAAAGUUUUCUCCUUCAACUUUAACCUACAAAACAAAACCAUCUCCAUAGCCGCCGCCUCCAAAUCCGUGUUCUCUCUCCAUUGAUUUUUUUAAUCUUAAUCAUAUAUUGUUUUUUGUUGAUUGA
rnacentral:sRNA from 1 species